UACGUAGGGUGCGAGCGUUAAUCGGAAUUACUGGGCGUAAAGCGUGCGCAGGCGGUUCGUCGUGUCCGAUAUGAAAGCCCCGGGCUCAACCUGGGAAUGGCAUUGGAAACUGGCGGACUCGAGUGUGGCAGAGGGGGGUGGAAUUCCGCGUGUAGCAGUGAAAUGCGUAGAUAUUGGGAGGAACACCGGUGGCGAAGGCGGCCCCCUGGACCGGCAUUGACGCUGAGGCGCGAAAGCCAGGGGAGCAAACGGG
rnacentral:rRNA from 1 species